CCCCUGGCAGCACAGCUCCCCUGCGGGAGGCGGGCCCCGCGCGCGGAAACCCGUGGGACUGGCUGCUUGACGGAAUGUGCGGCUUGGCUGACACUAAGCAUGCGCAGUAACGUCCACUGAGACCGCUGCCCUCAGUGGGCAUUAAAUCCGCUCCCUGUGGUAUUUAUGUGGGGUGUGCACAGUCGCCUAGCCAAGCGAUGGCAUCUUCAGGGGAAUGGUGCAUUCUUCCAGGCCACCGCUGAACCUAGUCAGCGGGCAUUCCUGGACGAAAUGCAUCAUUGUCUGUGUUGUGUGCAGCUGCACAAAGGGCUGUCACGAAGGCCCCAGCGAUACUGGUUUCUUGCACAGAGACCUUGGCUCGUCGGGAACCUGUUCAACAGGAACCAUUGGCGACAGGGCAGGUCAAAACCAGGUGGGCAGAUUGUGGGGUCAGCGAUGAGGCACUGGUUGGGGAUUAUAACAGAUAUCCAUUCCUCUUGCCAGACUGUUUCUGCCCUAACAUCCUGGCAUAGCGGAUGAGACCAUGACAGGCAACGUGAUGGCAAACGUGCAGCUGGUGGUUUAAAAAGGUCAUUGUGCAGCAGCGAGCUUGAGUUGGCGCAUACUUUCUCCACUUGCCAGUGACAAACUCUCGUCUGAUAUGUGGAGGAGCAAUAUUGCUCAGAACUGGAAGCCAUUGGACUGGAGUCGGAUGCAGGGUGCCAGAGGUGAUACGCAUGGCAGCAUGUAACUGCAUAUUCACCAUUUUAGUGCGUGAUAAUCUACUCCAAACUGGUGCACAGUACUCUGCCACUGAAUAUGAGGUGGCAAGAGCUGACAUCUGCAAAGUUGGAGCACGAGCACUCCAUGAUGAACCUGCCAGUUUGCUAAGGUUGUUGCACAUCUUAACUUUAGCUGCUGUCUUCUUCAGGUGGGCAUGAUAACUCAGUGUGCAGUCUAAGGUCACACCUAGAGAGACCAGUUCUACUUCAUGCUUCUCCUUCUGACCAUUCAGAUAAACAUUCAGGUCUCGGGUUCCACAGGUGUGAUGAAGAUGGAACAAACUGGAGACUGUUUUUAUGAUACUUCGCUGGAGGCUCCAAGUCUUAUAGUAGUCAGCUAACUUUAUCAUGUCCAGGUUUAAGGUGGCAUCAAGUUUGUGAAACAUCCAGGCCUGGGUACCACAACAGAUGUUGUCUGCGUAAAUGAACUUGCAUGACUCUGUUUUUGGCAGGUCACUGAUGUAAAGGUUGAAGAGAGCUGGAGAAAUCACAUAGCCCUGGGGUAACCCAUUGCUCUAUCUUCUCCAUCAUAUGGAUGAGAGGAGACAACCGAGAAGAUGAGCUUUACCUGCUCCAGCCGCAAGUGUGGGAGUCUGCUCUGAUGCCUUAGAACAGCGCAGCAGCCACCUGCACUCUGCCAACCCUCAGUGAUACCCAGCCAGGUAGCCGGACACCUACUUAAAGUGGCCAGAGCACCUAUGAAGUAACACGUGCGAAGACAAAUGAGGAACAAAUGGCAUAUUUUUAAAUGUCUACACCAGAACAGAAACUGCCCAGAACCAUUCACUGCAGCAGAGUACCAUCAAGUGUGGAACAACUGCAGGCUAUGACAACAUAUCUCCAGAAUUUCUGAAAAAUCUUGGCCCCCAUGCUUGUCUUUUGCUUCUGAAAUUCUUCACCAGGAUCAUCAGUGAAGGUAGGCUACCGAAGAUAUGGUGCACUGCAAAAAUCAUUGUUCUCUUAAAGCCUGGAAAGGACCCAAGUCAAGCCUCAAGCUAUCGUCCAAUAUCAUUAUUGUCGGUGUGCUUCAAGGCACUGGAGCGCUUGGUCCUACAGCGCAUAUUACCCUAUGUGGAGAGAAUUUUGAGCCCCAAACAAGCCAGCUUUCACCGAGGCCAUAGCACAUGUGACCAAGUACUUGUGCUGACUGCAUUUGUUGAAAAUGGCUUCCAGAUAAACUUGAAAAUAGGCGCUGGUUUCAUUGAUCUAACAGUGGCGUACAAUACGGAUGGCACACUGGCCUGCUCGUGAAGCACAAGUUUAUUCUGAUGGAUCAUGUGACAUCCAUUUUGACUGAUUUCCUGGUCUGGUGUCAAAACUUCUUCAUUUUAAUUUGACCCACCAAUGGGGAUUGCCUUUCUCAACUGUUGUUAUGCUUCUCAAUCCAGCUCUUCGCACUCUUUUGCAUUUCACUGCUGGUGUGUAGAACUUGGUUUCCAAAUAUUCACUAAGGGCAGUAUACUAUCUCAUAUUAAAUCCUUUUGAAAGGCAA